GGAGUGUGGUAAUUUUUGUUCUCAAAAAGUAGACUGCAGAAGAUAUCUGAGUUGUUUGAAAGCGGAUGGGACGUUUUCAUGCAGGUUUUAUGACGCAGGACAGAACUGUGGUGGUGAUCCAUCGGAUUGCGUCUGUUAUAGAAAGCUAUACAGUUUAAAUGGUACCCAGUACAGUUGUCCAGUUGGUCGUUAUGGACAGAAAUGUGACCAGGUUAUCACAGAUUGUAGUGACGGAAACCAGAAAGGCAUGGGUGUAUUUCAACGAUGGGUCAGGACCUUCAUUCAACCCCAUUCUUCAGAUGAGCCAUUUGAAGUACUCUGUGAAUUAAGAUGGGGAGGUUCUACAUUCAUUAUGAGGCGAUUUGCAGAAUGCAACCCCUUUAAUUUUAAUCGCACUAUCACAGAGUACGUAGGUGGAUUUGGCGACCCUAUGGGAGAGUAUUGGUUAGGUCUAGACCGUAUCAAACUACUUCUGAAUCAAAACGCUAGAAAUAAAUUAGAUAUCAUUUUCAGUAUAGUCAAUAAACCGUAUUGUGAAAAUACGUAUGAGGAUUUUGAAAUUGGCAAUUCGUCAACAAAUUAUCGCUUGCAAGUGGGUGCUUAUCAAACUGAUAAAACAGCCAAAUGCGGUGAUUCCUUACUUGGAUCUAUCAAUAUUAAUGGCAGACCAUUUUCUACUUUGGAUCAAGACUUGACAAACUUCAACUGCGCAGCAAAGGUUGGUGGUGGAUGGUGGUAUGCAGACACGGCCGACUGCUCUGAAAGUCAGUUGACUGGCAACCGAGAAACAUUAGCAUGGCCGUCCGAUUUGGGUGUUGGCACCGUGCCUUAUAUGGCUGCUAUGCGAAUUUCCAAAAUGUAAGACUAUCGUAUCAAUAACUUUUGUAAAAUAUGAAGGAUGUGUGGGGGGCGGGGGGAGGGGUAUA